rnacentral:rRNA from 1 species
AUAGCGUAUAUUAAAGUUGUUGCAGUUAAAAAGCUCGUAGUUGAAUUUCGGGAUUGGCGCAUCGGUCGUGCCUCACGGGGUAUGAACUGGUGCAGUCAAUUUCUCACCUUCUGGAGAACCGCGAUGUCCUUAAUUGGAUGCCGCGGGGAACCAGGACCUUUACUUUGAAAAAAUUAGAGUGUUUAAAGCAGGCAUUUUUGCUUGAAUACAUUAGCAUGGAAUAAUAAAAUAGGACGGCAUGGUUCUAUUUUGUUGGUUUCUAGGACCACCGUAAUGAUUAAUAGGGAUAGUUGGGGGCAUUGGUAUUGAGUCACUAGAGGUGAAAUUCUUGGAUUGACUCAAGACCAACUAUUG